UACGUAGGGGGCGAGCGUUGUCCGGAAUCAUUGGGCGUAAAGCGCGUGUAGGCGGUCCGGUAAGUCCGCUGUGAAAGUCGGGGGCUCAACCCUCGGAUGCCGGUGGAUACUGUCGGGCUUGAGUACGGAAGAGGCGAGUGGAAUUCCUGGUGUAGCGGUGAAAUGCGCAGAUAUCAGGAGGAACACCUAUGGCGAAGGCAGCUCUCUGGGACGGUACUGACGCUGAGACGCGAAAGCGUGGGGAGCGAACAGG
rnacentral:rRNA from 1 species